CCACCAUAUUGUUGAUGGUAUUAUUUGAAUUUGAAGGCCAUCAAUACUAGUUUCAGCCUGUUUCUCGACCAGUUAGAAACUCCUCACAGUGCCUUUAAAAGCCAACAGAACAUGCAAAGAAAGCUACAAUUACUCUGUUGCAACACAGCUCAGAAAGUUAACUUUAGAGAUGGCCCCUAAGGUACCCAAUCAGGUUUUAAAGGCGGCCAUGCCAUUCCUCUGGACACCAUCCUGAGUCCAAGCCCAAAACUCAAGAUGCUGUAAUCUAGUCAAGCAAAACUGGCUAGAUCUCUUACAUCCUCUUGAUGUAGAAUUUCAACUUAAUUCUUUACCUGCCAUCCAAAAAUAUAUAUUUUUUUCUAUCACCGGCUUUCUAAUCUCCAGUUGAUGAACUUAGCGGAGAACUUUUACUCCUUCAGUCUGUUUGUAUCUCUGCAUGUGUGUGUGUGUGUGUGUGUGUGUGUGUGUGUGUGUGUGUGUGUGUGUGUGUGUGUGUGUGUGUGUGUGUGUGAAGAAAUAGUCUGGCAAAGAUUGAAAGAAACAAUUUCUCGGGUUUCGAGUUCUGCAGUGAAAAGCUAAAUAGAUUAAAAGUGUCUGGUCUGAGCUGCGGCUAAAUAAACAGUGUGUGGUGGAACUGACGGCUAAAUAGCCAUCUGCAUUUGUCCCUGGUACACAGGUAGUUACAGGGAUUUCUGGUCUGUUUGAAAGUAGACCCCAUCUCCCAGCACCCCCAAAACACUGUGUUUGUCUUUGCCUGGGUCUUUUAAAGCCCAUUGAUCCAGAUAAUCAGGGACAAAAUUGGUGAAAAACCUGUGGGGGGAGGUUCUGACAGUGGCUGCUCAAAAGAGCUGCUUGUCGGUAAUUGAAGGAGGCUUUAAGACAACAAUAGUAAUGGCUAAUGCCAGGACUUAUUGGUUUCUCUGGUAUUUCUAGCUCCCUGCUGACAAGGCAGCACUGAAGAGUCACAGCUAGCAUGGCAAUCAUCGAAUGAUUAGCAGAUCUUCAGCUGCAGGGUCAGAAUGUGCAUUAUCUAUGGGUUUAGAGAGCCAUCAACGGGACGUCCUUCAGAUGUCUUUAGUUUGAAAUGGACUUGUUUGAGCUUGUUUCACUCAUUGCAAAGUAGGAAAGAACAGUACCCCUCUAAUGUGUGCUGUUUUUGGAUCUCAGAUAAUGCACCGGGGGCUACUUAAGAUGUCAUAACAGGACAGAAAAGUGAGAUGUGCUUUGUUCAAGUUUACACCACCUUCAAAGAACAGAUAAAUGGGACUGGUGUAUGUGCAGAGUUGAGGGACGGGUAGAUACCUUCACAUUCAUUUGUUAUUCUGUGGUUCUAACCCACUGAAAUGGACAGCUAUUAGACGUCUAUUUUUUUUUAUUUUUUUGACCUAAUUUCAACCGUCUAGAUUCUGUAUAUUUUUACAGAAUUUAGACGUUGCGCUUUAACCCAUUAUUCGAUAACUAUUUAUUUCAAAAAGCAACUGUGAGUUGCAUAACUGAUCUCCAAGUACUUAAACAAAAUAAUUAUGAUAGCCGUUGAGCAAUGUACAGUGUUAGCUGGCUAGUUUAAACUUGGUCUAAAUUUAGUCAUCUAAAAAAACUUUCAUUUUUAGACCUGUGGUAGCCUGAUUUUAGAAAAAAACAGAUAUUAUUGACACCUCAGUGUUGAGCUCUGUUUUCUUGUAUUCCCAGUAAUUUUAGAGAAACCAUAUAACUUUUAAGCACUGCUUCAAAGAUGAGGAAUGCAGGGAUUUUCGCUCAGUUUUGGUCUCUGAAAACUCUAGCUGACUGACGAUUUAACUCUCAAGCUGUUUAUCCUUUAUUUGGUGUAGUGUGCAAAUGUUUCUUAGAGCUCAUUUACAAUUAACUGCUGUCCACUAUGUCCCACUGAGGCUUAAAUAAAUAUUUAAGGAGCGGAGAGACAAAAAUAAUCAAGACAAAAACAAGAAAAAGCAUGUUGGUUAUGGAUAAAAUUCCAAAAGGUUCAAAUAUUUAACUAAAACAAAUUUGUAAACUAGUGUGAACUCUUUAAUAAAACUUUAUCAGUGAGUUUCAUUUUGACUUGGAUGAAGCAGGACCCCUGUUUUCCCUGACAGACAUGGCUAAAGUGGAUUAACUGUGGCAGACUGCCCUCAUUCUGAUGGAGAUGCAAUCUAACAUAAUGGCGAUCAUGAACACUGCACACGAUUAUUCUUUCUCAUCCACUACAAUGGCACUUCAGCGAAUGAAACAAGAGUUCUGCCAAAUGUCACGCCAAGAUGGAUGAUUAUCGUCAGCUCCACUGUCAUGGGAAUAUAUCUAUCUGGUGUAAUUUGCAGGCUGGAGCAGCAAUGAGCACAGAUAAGAUCAAUAUUUAAUGAAAGUGUAAGUGAAGCUUAAGGGUUGUCACUUGUGCCUGUGCUGUUAAUGACAUGUCACAUUAUCAUACUUAUCAGAUCGGGUCAAUCUUAACUGCAAUUACCGGCUUCAUUUCUUUUUAAUUCAUUACUAAUGUUGAAUCAUUUCAGUCGUCCAUUUCUGUGCAAACACACCAGGAAUGGACUCUUGGUGUUUCAGUGUUGGCGGCCAGCACAAACUUCAGAGUUAAAUCUAUUAACGAGAGCGUGGGUUGGCUUAAUUCAAUCAACACGCCUAAAACAUGUUUGUAACUUGGAGGAAAAGUGUAUUUCAUGGCUGAGGAAGCCCCUAUGCUUGGUGCCUCACUCUCCCUGGUAAUAGUAUCCCACAGUGAGCCGGCUGAUUGUUUUAGUCCUGGAUCACUGGUCAUGGGAUAAACCUGAGAGCCCAGCCUGCUUUUCAUGUCAAAACCUUCAAGGGAAAGCGGCCACAAUCCAAGAGCAAUCACACUUGAGACAUCAAAGUGCCAGAGAGAAGAGAGGCGAGAGACGGUCCACAUUUUUUCCACGCAAGCCAAGUGCAACUCAAGCGUGGAGGGAGAGGAGAUGAUCUAAGGCAAGGGUGCCAUUGAGAGGGAGACGGAGAGCAGACAGAUGUGCGUGGGCAGGUAGCAGCACAUCGGGGCCUCUCCUCAAGCUGGGAUAGACACCAAGAAACCAAGAAACCAACACUGGUCACAUUCCUUCUCCCUGCUCGCUCACUGUCCACUCUCACAUGGGCAGGAAAGACCAACUGGUGACCAUGUGUCUGCAUUAUCACGGUCAGUGCGGAGAAGCCAUUACUUAACUUUUAGUACCGCUGAUCACCAGCACAAUACAUUUAACAUGAGAUUAAUUAAAAUGGGUCCUCAUGCAACAGACGUCUCCUAAUGUGGAUUUAGCUUGAUAAGUUAGACCUCCUUGUAAUCAGUGCUAUAACUUAAAGCUCCAAUGAGGAGUUUUUAAAUGUUAAUGAAAACAGCUGAAAUUCAUCUUGCUAACUUCUUUGAAUAUCCAAAGGAAAAUAAAAUCAUCAGUGACAAGAUUGACGAUUUUUAUAUCCACAUUUUUGAUGCCUGAAACUGUGGCCAGGGGGUAGGUGUCAACCGAAUAGUUUUCACAUAAAAUAUUCACAAUAAAUGAAUACCAGAAGUCAUCAGGAUGAGAUUUAACUUAUCUGAGGGGACAAGUUCAGCAAGAUCUCUUUUGUCAACAAGGGGCACCAACGUUGACUCAAACUUUAAAGUUCCUCACAGGUGCUUUAAGGUACUGAAAUACAGAGGUCAAAAGUUUUCUAAUCUAGUUAAAUAAUUAACAGGGUUAAAAGUUAUCUUGCUCAAUCUUAUUUGUAAAAGUUGUUUAUGUUUUGGUUUUGGCUGAAUUUUUAGCUUGCUUAAAUGAGGAUUGUGGAGUUGAAGUUCAUGUCAAAAUGGUCAGAAACAUUAGAAGUAUAAAUAUAUUUUAAACACGACUUAGGUCUUCACUAUAUAAAGAACCGAUGAGUAAAAUUCAAAUUCGGUUUUUAACUAUGUAUUUGAUUGUAUAAUAUAUUUUGGUUAAAAUGUUAUGACUCCACUAAAAAAAAGAAACUAAUUCAUUCCUUUCUGUUUUUAUUCUUUGUUCACAUUUACUUUGAAGGUGUUUUAUGAUUUAAGUGUGAAAGGACAAACAGGAAGUCAGGCCUCAACAGCUGGUAUCAUACAGAAAAACAGAGGUUGUUAACUUGUCAGGGGUCUGUCACACAGAAACAGUCCAAAUCCCCCCUGCUCCUCCUCCCCCGUCCUUACACCACUUCCUCCUAAGCUGUCAUUCAUCUCUGUUCUGCCUCACUGCUGCCCAGCCAAUAGGAUGCUGGCGCCUGACCAAGAGCCCAGGCUGCUCGGACUUGUGUCGCAAGUUGAUUGAUAACCACAAACAGAGCUUUCCACCAGUCAUAGGACACCAUACAGGUGCAAUUAACACAUCAGACGGAGCCAGCAGAGAGAGAUCAGCAGGUAUGAGGCGUGAUGGGUAGACCAGGGCCGGGUUUACAUAUGAGCAGGUUAAUUCUAAGAGAGGGUGUGUGAAUAAAUAUUCAUUAACGUGGAUUUGGGGGCUUGUAUGAGGGUCAGGGAGACAAAGGUUAAAUAUAUACCGUAUGAUGAAAGUUUAGUGUCUUGAAUUUUAAAAGACACUUUGAUUUUGAAGUAAGUCUGAGCAGCCUUCCACUCACAGCUGCAUUAAUGUAGUUUAAAAACUCUGCUGUCAGACAUCCAGCCCGUGUAUCACCUUGAACGGCUGUAUUUUCUGAGUGGCAGAUUCAACCGAUGCACCAGUGUAGGCAUGUCUCACCCUCUCUGCGUAUCCUUAACCAUCCUGAAACUCCAUCUCCAUGUCCUCCUAUGUAACAAAACACCAGCAACAGUGUGUUCAGUAAAAACCUCCUACCCACAUCCCAUCUGGAAAGCAGCCUUUGGUCUGUGUGAUUGAACAAUUACCGCCAUGGUUAAUUUGCUGUCAAUAGAGACUGGCUCUUUCCUAGUUUACCUGCAUGCCCACACAUAGUUUACCUUGUCCCCUUUGACUCCAUCAAGAGGUUUUCAGAUGAAGUCAGUUGCACUGGGCAAAACAACUCACACUUUCAUGGCAAAAUGGUUUCCAUCACAGCAUGCGCACCGUGCCUUUAAUUUGUCAGUUACACGCCGGUGAAGAAGGAGCGUACCUAUGACAGCUGUUUCCAGUCUUAUCAGGAUGCACAAAUUACUGGGAUUAAAUGGAAAGCCACAAAUAUUUCACCAUUUAUUUCCCUACAUUCCAUUUUGUUUCACAUGCUGAAGUGUUAUUCUGAACGGUUAUAAUUGGUUCUUGUAAAAUCUGGUUUUAUAACUCUUACUGUGAGGUGCUGGAGUUGCUUUCAAUCAGGCUAAACAGGUUACGAUCGGAGUAUUCCGGAAAUCACUUAAUUUAGUUCACAUGAAGGAGGCUCGCAGAUGUUCAUAGAAGAUUUAUUUCAGCUAUUUAAAAAAACUUAGCCUCGAAAAAAAGCUUUUUUUUAACUUGAAUUUAAUCAGAGUUUGGUGUCAUGAUACCAAGUUUUAGUCCAGUUUGGAAUUUAGAGUUUUAACAUUAAAUUAAGAAGAAAAUUACAGUAACAUACUGUCAUUUACUUCCCUCAUUCCAUCUUGUUUUACAAGCUCAAGUAUUAUUCUG